GGGGAAUAUUGCACAAUGGGCGAAAGCCUGAUGCAGCAACGCCGCGUGAGGGAAGACGGUUUUCGGAUUGUAAACCUCUGUCUUUGGUGAAGAAACAAAUGACGGUAGCCAAGGAGGAAGCUCCGGCUAACUACGUGCCAGCAGCCGCGGUAAUACGUAGGGAGCGAGCGUUGUCCGGAAUUACUGGGUGUAAAGGGAGCGUAGGCGGGAAGGCAAGUCAGCUGUGAAAUACAUGGGCUCAACCCAUGGACUGCAGUUGAAACUGUUUUUCUUGAGUGAAGUAGAGGUAGGCGGAAUUCCGAGUGUAGCGGUGAAAUGCGUAGAUAUUCGGAGGAACACCAGUGGCGAAGGCGGCCUACUGGGCUUUAACUGACGCUGAGGCUCGAAAGUGUGGGGAGCAAAC
rnacentral:rRNA from 1 species